AGAGUUUGAUCCUGGCUCAGGAUGAACGCUAGCGGCAGGCUUAACACAUGCAAGUCGAGGGGCAGCAUGGGGAGUAGCAAUACUCUCUGAUGGCGACCGGCGCAAGGGUGCGUAACGCGUGAGCAACUUGCCCUCAUCAGGGGAAUAAUCGCUGGAAACGGCGUCUAAUGCCCCAUGGCGAUGGAAUCAGGCAUCUGGUUCCAUCUAAAGAUCCGUCGGAUGAGGAUAGGCUCGCGUGACAUUAGCUUGACGGCGGGGUAACGGCCCACCGUGGCGACGAUGUCUAGGGGUUCUGAGAGGAAGGUCCCCCACACUGGAACUGAGACACGGUCCAGACUCCUACGGGAGGCAGCAGUGAGGAAUAUUGGUCAAUGGCCGGAAGGCUGAACCAGCCAUGCCGCGUGAAGGUCAGUGCCCUAUGGGCGUUAAACUUCUUUUGUGCGGGAGCAAUAAGGUCCACGUGUGGACCGACGAGAGUACCGUACGAAUAAGCAUCGGCUAACUCCGUGCCAGCAGCCGCGGUAAUACGGGGGAUGCAAGCGUUAUCCGGAUUUAUUGGGUUUAAAGGGUGCGUAGGCUGUGAGGUAAGUCAGCGGUGAAAUGCCCCCGCUCAACGGGGUGAAGUGCCAUUGAUACUGCCUUGCUGGAAUGCGGAUGCCGUGGGAGGAAUGUGUGGUGUAGCGGUGAAAUGCAUAGAUAUCACACAGAACACCGAUUGCGAAGGCAUCUCACGAAUCCGCGAUUGACGCUGAUGCACGAAAGCGUGGGUAUCAAACAGGAUUAGAUACCCUGGUAGUCCACGCUGUAAACGAUGAUGACUAACCGUCGGCGAUACACAGUCGGUGGCCAAGCGAAAGCGAUAAGUCAUCCACCUGGGGAGUACGGCCGCAAGGCUGAAACUCAAAGGAAUUGACGGGGGCCCGCACAAGCGGAGGAACAUGUGGUUUAAUUCGAUGAUACGCGAGGAACCUUACCCGGGCUCGAACGGCAGCUGAAUAUUCCAGAGAUGGGAUAGUCUUCGGACAGUUGUCGAGGUGCUGCAUGGUUGUCGUCAGCUCGUGCUGUGAAGUGUCGGCUUAAGUGCCAUAACGAGCGCAACCCUUGCCUUCAGUUGCCAUCAGGUUAAGCUGGGGACUCUGGAGGGACUGCCACCGCAAGGUGCGAGGAAGGGGGGGAUGACGUCAAAUCAGCACGGCCCUUACGUCCGGGGCGACACACGUGUUACA
rnacentral:rRNA from 1 species